rnacentral:rRNA from 1 species
UACAGAGGUCUCAAGCGUUUGUUCGGAUUCAUUGGGCGCAAAGGGUGCGUAGGCGGCGCGGUAAGUCGGGUGUGAAAUUUCGAGGCUUAACUCGAAACUGCAUUCGAUACUGCCGUGCUUGAGGACUGGAGAGGAGACGUGGAACUUUACGGUGAGCGGUGAAAUGCGCAGAGUAUCGGGAGGAACACCGGUGGCGAAGGCG